AGGCGGAAAGAACUUGCCUUGUCUUAGGUAACAUUUUGGACUAUGGACCUUUGAAUUAAUGCUGAAAUGAGUUAAGACUUGACAGGAUUGUUGGCUGGCUGAAUUUGCGGAGACCCGACUUUGCCCUUGCAUGUGUGAAAAAUGGCCUCAAGUAUGACUCCAUGGCAAGAUGGAAAUAAACUGUGCUCUUGAAUAGCUUAGAGAUUCAGAGCCCCUCAUCAGCUUGAAAUGCCCACCUCAAAACAAUGACAUGAGAAGAAACAAACCUCUAAUUUAAGCCACUGUCUUUUUAAGAGCAUUGUAGUUUGAGAUAUCUUUCUUUCAGCUGUUUAGGCCCCAGCUAACCACUUAUUGAUCUUAUCUUACAGGUCAAGAAAAAUGCAGUUCUGGGGGACAAGUCACUAAUAUAAAUGUAUUAGAAAUUUUCCAGCUCUCCCUCCUUGCCCAGCAGAGUAUAUUUCCACUCAAACACAGUGAACCCGUCUAGAAUGGGACAAAACAAAAUGAGGUGGACCUGGGACAAGAGAAUGUUCAGCUACACAGGAUCCAGGUCAAAACUCUUUAAUCCUCCCAUUUCUGGAUCUCAAAUGAGCACCUUUCAUCUAAGAGUUCUCCUCAAGAGGUUUGCUUUCCCACAGCAGCUUGUCAACAGUGUAAGAAGUUCCAAAAGAGCUUUUGGGGUUGUAGGUUAUGUGGCAUCACCCCAGCUUGUCUCAACACCUCUGAUGAACAGUAGCAGAAGAAAAGACUGUUUCCACAUGAGUUCCCCGGUGGUCCCCAUCUCUUAGGGAGUUUAUAAAAAAAUCCAUCAUCUUGUUCUACUAAACCCAAAUAAACAUAAUUAACACCAAAUUUGUGUUCUGCUCAUCAAAUUGCACAGCCAUAAAGAGAUAAUCUUCAUAAAAUAAAUCACUAGGCUUCCUUGAUAAGUCAAUAAGGCAAAAGCCUUGAGAGUAAAUUAAGACAAAUGGGAAACCAGCUGGAAGAAAUCAAACAGGCAAAGCAGGUGGGUUGGCUUGUGUUUGGGAAGAUAAAACACAGCAUGAAGCAUUUACACAUUUACACAAAAGCAAGAUCUAUAACCUUAGGCUUUGAACUGAGCUAAAUGCAUGACUUAUUUAAGAAGAGCUGGUAGCUGGGAACUGGUUGAACUAAGAGUGUCAAGACCAACUCUGACGAUGUUUUCUUGUACUUAGCCUGUUUUUACAUGCUCCAAAGAUUGCCAAACAACCAGCAGCAGAUGGUUCUGUAUCUGAGUGCGAUGCUAAGUGGUGUGAGGGAUGGCAUGAUUGAUCAUUUACUCAGAGUAGCAUAAAAGAAGAAAUUCUUGUUAAAAAUGACUCUGUUGUAUCAAAUGGCUGUAAAACAGGCAAGAGGUGAGUAGACCUUCAACAAUCUGUCCCUUAUUGGGACAAAACCAACACUGGGCCCAACAGCCAUGAGGCAUUCCAACAUACAUCUGUAGACACGCAAAAGCUACAACAUCACUUGGAAUACAUCCUUAGGUAACAAUCCUGCAUCCAGCAACUCCAUCGCCUUUUCCCAAAGAAUAUGCCUUGCUGUUGUAAACAUAGAUUUAGACAUCUCAUCUCAGUUGAUCCCAUUUUGGCAGGAUUCGUUUGGCCAAAAAUAAACAAUGAUUGCCCCUUUCAUUUUGGGCCUCUGACAUGUAGCCUCUGACUGUUUGUGUGUGCCUGUAGUCCAAGCACACACAAACAGUGCUAGGAGUCAAGUUUCCAAUAACUUCUGGCUAAAAGCCUCGGAGUCAGCUUUUCCCAAUUUAUCAUGCAAAAUGUUUAAAAUUAACAAAAGCCACCUCAAACUACAAUUUUCAGAAUCUGGGAACUCUCACAUCCAAGAGCAAGAUGGAUACACUUGGAUUGAAAGAUGCAACCAAGACCCACACAUGCCAAGUCCUUGCCACAGAACAAGAUGUCCAGCUGGAAGAAAGUAGAGGAAUCCCCAGACCAUUUGUCCUCUGGCUCAAGAACACCAGAAUUAUACCAACAAAAAACUGUGCGGCUGUCACACUCCGGCACAGGUGAACCGCCUUGUGAAGUGAUCAGGGAGACAUCUGUGUUACCAAACCCUCCUCACAUACACUCACUCUCACUGAAACAGCUCUUUCUAUACCAAUUAGAAACUGAGGCUCCCAGAAAACAACUUGAAAGGAAUGUAGAGAAGCUUAUGAUUGUCAGAUUUAGCAAAUAAAAAUACAAGGAUGCCCAGUUGAACAUGAAUUUCAUAUAAACUAUAAGUAAUUUUUAAUAUAUGUAUGGCCCAAGUAUUAAAAGAGGACUACAAAUAAUUUAUUAGUGUGAGUAUGCCCAUAAGUAUUUGGGACAUACUUACACUAACAGAUUAUUUGUCAUUUAUCUGAAAUUCAAACUUGGCAUUCUAUACUUAACUUGGCAAUUUGAGGAAGGGCGAAAAAAGAGAAUAUAUAUCACAUUGCAUCAUGGAGAUACAGACCUUAAAAAUAAAAAUGUUGUAGGCUGAGGCCAAGACACAGAAGCCUUUGCAGCAGUGCUAAUUGGGUAUUAUAAGUUUAUAUUUAUUAACUCUUUUCAGAAAUCAUAAUCUCAAAGGAAAAUAUCCCAAAUCAUCUCAAUACAGACAACAUCCCUACAAGGACACUACUUGACAUAUUCAAUCAGGACAAUAUGAAAUCUUACAAAGUAAGAAUUGGACUAGAAUUUAGAAUGUGUACUCAUUGGCCUGCCUUUUAGCUAUUUGUAGCUGGAGUCCAACCGACACCAAAUGUCAUGAAUGGAAAUCCACAUGCCCGUCAUUGACAGUCUAAACAGAACUUGUUUAAAGGAGGAGGAAAGCAAUAAAGGAAACUACAUUUCAGAAUAUGGGAAAGUGACUACUAUCACAAGAGUAUAAAAAAGUAUUUUUAUACUAUCUGACAUAAUCAAAAGAAUAUGAAUUAUGUGAAACAAGAGCCAGAAGUCAUGAGGAUGAAUUGAGAAGCUUGUUAGGUGAGUUAAAGACAUUUCAAGAAAUUGAAAAUAUAGGAGUAUUAGAGUCUAUUGAAAUCAGUGAAGGAAUUGAAAAUGUCUAUCAUUAAAUUAGAAUUUAAAUAUCAGAUGCUGUCUCAGAACUCAUCAGAAAAAUCAAUGAUAAAGAGAUGACAGCUGUAAAAUGAUUUAAAAAGUAUAGAAGUUAAUUUAAAAAGGAAAAAAAGGUUUGCGUAAGAUUUGUCUUCUGCAACAAUAAAUUCC